UAUACAUUUGGCUUCCGCAACAGGUGGAAGGAUAAAAUAAAAACCUUUCUAUUAGUUGAGGACUUUGACCAAUGGAUGAUUGUGACUCAGGGACCUUUUAUGCAAGAAAAGAUUGAUAACAAAGAAAAGAAAGUUGCCAAAGUGAAAGAGGAAUUAAAUGCUGAUGACAAGAUGAUGUUGGAGAAAAAUAUUGAGGCUAAGUUGUAAUUUUCUUAGUCUUGGAGAGAUAAAUAGGAUUUCUAUAUGCAAUCCUGCUAAUGACAUCCAAGAAAGACUGCUCGCAAUGCAUGAAGAAACUCACUCAGACAUGUCACUAAUGGUCUUGAUAAAUACGGAUUCUGAAAAGAUUAAUACUAAAGAUGUUGUGUCCACGAUGGCCAUGAGUUACUUUGAAUAUGAAGCUGGAAACAAGGAGAUAAAUAUCCCUAGUGUUAAAGACCUUGGGUCUACUGGUAGUUCCUAUACAACUAAGAGUCCUAGCGAGAAGGGGAUUCACUUUUGCGUCCGACAAGGAUCUAUUUAUACUAUGCUUGGCAACCACAUGAUAACAUCAGAAAAUCUUGGCAGAGCUUUAUAAGUUGAGUUUAGGCCAAGAUUUGUGGAAGUACUUAUGAAAGUAUAUUUUACGUUUUUGGAAGAUCGAAGGAAAAUAUUUUCACUUCUUUUAUUUGCUGGGGUUAGGAGAUUUGGUGCAACUUGGUGAACACUCUUCUAUUCAUAGCCGUCUAUUAUGUAUUUAUAUAUAUAGUACGAGUUUAUUUUUGCAAAGGUUGUGCACCUACACACACAACUGAGACAUCCUUCUUGUGAGCAGCAACUUUCGAGAACCAAGAGCAAAAUAAAUUAAAGAACACAGUUCGAGAGAUCAUUGAUUCAAGUUUAGUUCGUUUGUCUUGAUUUUGUAAUAGGGGUUUUCUCUGCUUAUAUUAGAAGCUAUUUAUAAGAACUCUUGAGUGACAAUUUUUGUUCUAGACUGAGAAAUUAGUUUGGAGUAAGUAGCUACAAUCAGUUUGAUUGCAGGGUGUUGAGUGACUAGAUUUAGUCUAUUAGGUUAUAAAUGUAUUUUAUAACUUGAAACUGCUCGUUGUUGUUAGUGAAAUUUGUGAGAAAAAUCCUAGAGUUGGGUUGUGAUUUUACUCCCUUGAGCAAGGAGAUUUUUUAAUGUAAAAUUUAUGUCUUCUUUUUGCAUUUA